rnacentral:rRNA from 1 species
GACGAACGCUGGCGGCGUGCUUAACACAUGCAAGUCGAACGGAAAGGCCCUGCUUUUGUGGGGUGCUCGAGUGGCGAAAGGGUGAGUAACACGUGAGUAACCUGCCCUUGACUUUGGGAUAACUUCAGGAAACUGGGGCUAAUACCGGAUAGGAGCUCCUGCUGCAUGGUGGGGGUUGGAAAGUUUCGGCGGUUGGGGAUGGACUCGCGGCUUAUCAGUUUGUUGGUGGGGUAGUGGCUUACCAAGGCUUUGACGGGUAGCCGGCCUGAGAGGGUGACCGGCCACAUUGGGACUGAGAUACGGCCCAGACUCCUACGGGAGGCAGCAGUGGGGAAUAUUGCACAAUGGGCGGAAGCCUGAUGCAGCAACGCCGCGUGCGGGAUGACGGCCUUCGAGUUGUAAACCGCUUUCGCCUGUGACGAAGCGUGAGUGACGGUAAUGGGUAAAGAAGCACCGGCUAACUACGUG